rnacentral:lncRNA from 1 species
GCUAAAUAAAAAAUGCACAGACAUAAUUGUGAAAAAAUUUGUUUGCAUAUAAAGAAUGUUUUUUAAAAAAUUCUACAAACGCCCGGGGGAAAAUAUAAAUGCUACGUAGGGUAAAGAAUGAGACAAUGAGUUGGCAGUACAGCACAACAUUGAAUGCCCCAGAGAGAACAAUUUAAGUGGUUCUGGGACAACACUUAGGACUAAAAUGUCAAUUUGUGAAAAAGACAGUACAAAGGGAAGCAAUCUAGUGAAGAUGUGAGAAAAAGGUCCUCUUGUGUACUUUUAUUGGAAAGCCAAAUGUUGUCUUCUGAGGAAACAAGUAAAGGACGAAAACCUCACAAAUAGCAAAAAUGCAUUCUAAAUGAUCAUGACAGUCCCAUCUAAACAUACCAAAUUAAGUUCUGGAAUGUUGAAAGAAAAAUAUUAGACUAAAUGCAUUAUUUUGCUUUCUUGAGAUUAUGAGAAAAAAACAUAAUAGUUAAUUUUUAUCUGUGUUUCUAAAUGAUGUUGGCAAAGAAAAUCUGAGGAAAGAAGGGAGGAUUAAGAUGGCCUCUGUUGGUAAAGUGUUUAACUAGGCAAACACACAGCCUGGACUACAUCCUUAGGACCACACAGUCUGGACUCCAUCUGAAGGACCACACAGCCUGGACUCCAUCCCCAAGACUGUACAGCCUGGACUACAUCCCUAGGACCACACAGUCUGGACUCCAUCUGAAGGACCACACAGCCUGGACUCCAUCCCCAUGACUGUACAGCCUGGACUCCAUCCCUAGGACCACACAGCCUGGACUUCAUCCCUAGGACCACACAGUCUGGACUCCAUCUGAAGGACCACACAGCAUGGACUCCUUCCCUACGACUGCACAGCCUGGACUCCAUUCCUAGGUUCACACAGCCUGGACUUAAUCCCUAGAACCACAAAGCCUGGACUUCAUCCCCAGGACCACACACAACACACGUGGUGCACAGCAGUUAUCACAGCAGUUGGGAGAUAACAGCAGCAAGAUCAGAAGUUAUGUCCCUCCUCAGCUGAAUGGUAAGUUUGAGGUCAACCUAAGCUACAUGAAGCCUAAAUAAAGGAGGGCGAAUCCACUAGGAGGAAAUCAAAGGAGGGAAUCAGAGCUUUUGUGUUGCCGCUGUGCUUGGUGCCAUACACCUAUAAAUUGUUAGGGAGGGAAAGGCAAGAAGAUGGCAAGUGUGAGGCCAGUCUGGGCUAGGGAGUAAGCCUUCAUCUCAACUAACAUUAUAGGCUUUGUAGCCAUUCAUCUGUAAUCCUAUCAUCAAGGAAGCAGAGGCUUCCAGUUCAAUGCCAGUUUGUGUUACAUAGUGAUUUCCAGGCCAGCCUACAUAACAAGAACUUGAGUAGAAUAGCAACGGAGGUUAGAGGAUUUAUGAAUUGGGUCAUUAGAGAACAUAUAGGCUCAAAGUGGUCAUAAAAAGUAUUAAAAUAUGGGGCGGGGGGGUGGCGGGGAGAUGACUCAACAUGUCAGUCUUGGUGACCUGAUUUUGAUUCCCCAGGACACACAUAGUGGAAUGACAGAACCAGCCCCCACAAAUUGUCCUCAGACCUCCAUGUACCAUGGGACUCACAAGCACACCUGUGCACAUGCACAUGUGCACCUGCACACUUAUAAAUAAAUGCAAUAAUUUUUAAAUCCUAAGUUAAGCGAUGAUAUACUUAGUGUCUGCAAUUUCUGUUGUCAUUUUGAGGGGUUGUAUAUUCGUCGGGGGUGUGGUCCUUUGUGCACACUCAUGAGGGAUUAUCUUGAUUAUGUGAAUUGAUGUAGGAAGAUCCAUCUAAAUAGCCAGUAGGACAACUUCCUGGACAAGGGGUGCUGGCCUGAGUAAAAUGGAGAAGAGAAGCCGAUCUCUUCUCGCAUCCUUCUCUAUCUCUUUCUGGAUUGUGAUGCAAUGUGACCAGUUGCCUGGAGCUGUUGCUGUCUUCUUUUCUUCCCCACCAUGAUGGGCUGUACCUUGAACUGUGGGCUUAGACAAGCCCAUUCCCACUCAAAUUGCUUUUCUUCUUCCUUUCUCUUCCUUCCUUCCUUCCUUCCUUCCUUCCUUCCUUCCUUCCUUCCUUCCUUCCUCCCUCCCUCCCUCCCUCCCUGCCUCCAUUCCUCCCUUCCUUCCUUUCUUUUCUUUUCUCUUUCUUUCUUUCUUCCUUACAUUUCACCACCCCUACUUCUGUCUCUGUGUGUUUAUGUCUGUCUGUGUGUCUCUCUGUCUAUGUCUUUCUCUGUGUCUGUCGCCCUCUCUGUUUCGGUCUCUAUAUCUUUCUUUCUGUCUUUCUCUGUCUCUGUCUCUAUUUAUCUCUGUCUCUAUCUCUGUCUUUCUCUCUGUCUCUGUCUCUCUCCCUCUCUUUCUUUUUGUGUUUUUUAAAGACAUGGUUUCUCUGUGCCUGGAACUUACUUUGUAGGCCUGGUUAGCCUGCCUCGGCCUCCCAAGCACUGGAGUUACAGGCAUGUGCUGGCACCCCCACCAGGCUUGAGUUGCUCUUCCUCAGGAUGCAGUUUAUUAACUCUUCUCUAUCCCCCUUUUCUCCCUCCAAAUCUUCCCAAUAUGUCUUCCCACUCACUAAUUCCUGACC